AGUGAACGCUGGCGGUAGGCCUAACACAUGCAAGUCGAACGGCAGCACAGUAAGAGCUUGCUCUUACGGGUGGCGAGUGGCGGACGGGUGAGGAAUACAUCGGAAUCUACUUUUUCGUGGGGGAUAACGUAGGGAAACUUACGCUAAUACCGCAUACGACCUACGGGUGAAAGCAGGGGAUCUUCGGACCUUGGGCGAUUGAAUGAGCCGAUGUCGGAUUAGCUAGUUGGCGGGGUAAAGGCCCACCAAGGCGACGAUCCGUAGCUGGUGUGAGAGGAUGAUCAGCCACACUGGAACUGAGACACGGUCCAGACUCCUACGGGAGGCAGCAGUGGGGAAUAUUGGACAAUGGGCGCAAGCCUGAUCCAGCCAUACCGCGUGGGUGAAGAAGGCCUUCGGGUUGUAAAGCCCUUUUGUUGGGAAAGAAAAGCAGCAGGUUAAUACCCCGCUGUUCUGACGGUACCCAAAGAAUAAGCACCGGCUAACUUCGUG
rnacentral:rRNA from 1 species